GCCCUCCUAGGGUUGCACCUGGAGAGUUUCCAGUACUCUGUCAGUCUCGGCUAUGGGAGGGAGAGUCAAGCAGAGGCAUACCUAUUCCAUACCUAGCUUGGGCGGUGGCUAGAAAGUAGAAGACAAUCUGCUCCAUGU